rnacentral:rRNA from 1 species
UGGGGAAUAUUGCACAAUGGGCGCAAGCCUGAUGCAGCCAUGCCGCGUGUAUGAAGAAGGCCUUCGGGUUGUAAAGUACUUUCAGCGGGGAGGAAGGGAGUAAAGUUAAUACCUUUGCUCAUUGACGUUACCCGCAGAAGAAGCACCGGCUAACUCCGUGCCAGCAGCCGCGGUAAUACGGAGGGUGCAAGCGUUAAUCGGAAUUACUGGGCGUAAAGCGCACGCAGGCGGUUUGUUAAGUCAGAUGUGAAAUCCCCGGGCUCAACCUGGGAACUGCAUCUGAGACUGGCAAGCUUGAGUCUCGUAGAGGGGGGUAGGAUUCCAGGUGUAGCGGUGAGAUGCGUAGAGAUCUGGAGGAAUACCGGUGGCGAAGGCGGCCCCCUGGACGAAGGCUGACGCUCAGGUGCGAAAGCGUGGGGAGCAAACAGG